rnacentral:rRNA from 1 species
ACGUGGGCAACCUGCCGGACUGAUGGGAAUAACCCCGGGAACCGGGGCGUAAUGCCCAACUACGCCCUCGACCUCGCCUGAGGUCAGCGGUAAAGCAGGGAUCUUCGGAUCCUUGCACAGUCCGAUGGGCCCGCGGCGCAUUAGCUAGUUGGAGAGGUAAGGGCUCCCCAAGGCGACGAUGCGUAGCCGACCUGAGAGGGUGAUCGGCCACACUGGGACUGAGACACGGCCCAGACUCCUACGGGAGGCAGCAGUAGGGAAUUUUCCGCAAUGGGCGAAAGCCUGACGGAGCAAUACCGC